rnacentral:tRNA from 1 species
CGGAGCGUGGCGCAGUUGGCAGCGCGCUGCGUUUGGGACGCAGAGGUCGUGAGUUCGAGUCUCACCGCUCCGA